UUGCUUUUAUAAUAACUUCUCGAAUCAGCAUGGCCUUGUCGACAUGGCGAUGCAUUUCCACUUCAAAUAUCUGCCCUACUCAACUUUACGACUGGUAGGAUAGAGGCCUACCAUGGUUUACAACGGGUAACGGGGGACAUAAGGGUUCGAUAUUCCGGCACAGGGAGCUGAGAAACGGCUACCACAUCCAAGGAAGGCAGCAGGCGCGCAAAUUACCCAAUCCCGACACGGGGAGGUAGUGACAAUAAAUAACAAUAUAGGGCUCUUUUGGGUCUUAUAAUUGGAAUGAGUACAAUUAUAAAUACCCUUAACGAGGAACAAUUGGAGGGCAAAGUCUGGUGCCAGCAAGCCGGGUAAUUCCA
rnacentral:rRNA from 1 species